rnacentral:rRNA from 1 species
UGGGGAAUAUUGGACAAUGGGGGCAACCCUGAUCCAGCAAUGCCGCGUGAGUGAUGAAGGCCUUAGGGUUGUAAAGCUCUUUUGCCGGGGACGAUGAUGACGGUACCCGGAGAAUAAGCCCCGGCUAACUUCGUGCCAGCAGCCGCGGUAAUACGAAGGGGGCGAGCGUUGUUCGGAAUUACUGGGCGUAAAGGGCGCGUAGGCGGCGACCCAAGUCAGAUGUGAAAGUCCUGGGCUUAACCUGGGGACUGCAUUUGAUACUGGGUUGCUUGAAUGCAGGAGAGGAUAGCGGAAUUCCCAGUGUAGAGGUGAAAUUCGUAGAUAUUGGGAAGAACACCGGUGGCGAAGGCGGCUAUCUGGACUGUGAUUGACGCUGAGGCGCGAAAGCGUGGGGAGCAAACAGGAUUAGAUACC